rnacentral:snRNA from 1 species
UAAGAUACCUGGUAGAGGAGAUACCAUGAUCAAGAAGGUGGUCUUCCUAGGGUGAGGCUUAUCCAUUGCGCUCCAGAUGUGCUGACCCUUGUGAUUUCCCCAGAUACGGGAGACACAGCUACAUAAUUUGUGGUGUUAGGGGGUAGUGAAUUCGCACUCUGCCUUA